rnacentral:rRNA from 1 species
CCUACGGGAGGCAGCAGUCGGGAAUUUUGCGCAAUGGACGAAAGUCUGACGCAGCAACGCCGCGUGAGGGAUGACGGCCUUCGGGUUGUAAACCUCUUUUGUCAGGGACGAUGAUGACGGUACCUGACGAAUAAGUCACGGCUAACUACGUGCCAGCAGCCGCGGUAAU